rnacentral:rRNA from 1 species
UUAAGCGACUAAGCGUACACGGUGGAUGCCCUGGCAGUCAGAGGCGAUGAAGGACGUGCUAAUCUGCGAUAAGCGUCGGUAAGGUGAUAUGAACCGUUAUAACCGGCGAUUUCCGAAUGGGGAAACCCAGUGUGAUUCGUCACACUAUCAUUAACUGAAUCCAUAGGUUAAUGAGGCGAACCGGGGGAACUGAAACAUCUAAGUACCCCGAGGAAAAGAAAUCAACCGAGAUUCCCCCAGUAGCGGCGAGCGAACGGGGAGCAGCCCAGAGCCUGAAUCAGUGUGUGUGUUAGUGGAAGCGUCUGGAAAGGCGCGCGAUACAGGGUGACAGCCCCGUACACAAAAAUGCACAUGCUGUGAGCUCGAUGAGUAGGGCGGGACACGUGGUAUCCUGUCUGAAUAUGGGGGGACCAUCCUCCAAGGCUAAAUACUCCUGACUGACCGAUAGUGAACCAGUACCGUGAGGGAAAGGCGAAAAGAACCCCGGCGAGGGGAGUGAAAAAGAACCUGAAACCGUGUACGUACAAGCAGUGGGAGCACAGAGCAAUCUGUGUGACUGCGUACCUUUUGUAUAAUGGGUCAGCGACUUAUAUUCUGUAGCAAGGUUAACCGAAUAGGGGAGCCGAAGGGAAACCGAGUCUUAACUGGGCGUUAAGUUGCAGGGUAUAGACCCGAAACCCGGUGAUCUAGCCAUGGGCAGGUUGAAGGUUGGGUAACACUAACUGGAGGACCGAACCGACUAAUGUUGAAAAAUUAGCGGAUGACUUGUGGCUGGGGGUGAAAGGCCAAUCAAACCGGGAGAUAGCUGGUUCUCCCCGAAAGCUAUUUAGGUAGCGCCUCGUGAAUUCAUCUCCGGGGGUAGAGCACUGUUUCGGCAAGGGGGUCAUCCCGACUUACCAACCCGAUGCAAACUACGAAUACCGGAGAAUGUUAUCACGGGAGACACACGGCGGGUGCUAACGUCCGUCGUGAAGAGGGAAACAACCCAGACCGCCAGCUAAGGUCCCAAAGUCAUGGUUAAGUGGGAAACGAUGUGGGAAGGCCCAGACAGCCAGGAUGUUGGCUUAGAAGCAGCCAUCAUUUAAAGAAAGCGUAAUAGCUCACUGGUCGAGUCGGCCUGCGCGGAAGAUGUAACGGGGCUAAACCAUGCACCGAAGCUGCGGCAGCGACGCUGAUGCGUUGUUGGGUAGGGGAGCGUUCUGUAAGCCUGCGAAGGUGUGCUGUGAGGCAUGCUGGAGGUAUCAGAAGUGCGAAUGCUGACAUAAGUAACGAUAAAGCGGGUGAAAAGCCCGCUCGCCGGAAGACCAAGGGUUCCUGUCCAACGUUAAUCGGGGCAGGGUGAGUCGACCCCUAAGGCGAGGCCGAAAGGCGUAGUCGAUGGGAAACAGGUUAAUAUUCCUGUACUUGGUGUUACUGCGAAGGGGGGACGGAGAAGGCUAUGUUGGCCGGGCGACGGUUGUCCCGGUUUAAGCGUGUAGGCUGGUUUUCCAGGCAAAUCCGGAAAAUCAAGGCUGAGGCGUGAUGACGAGGCACUACGGUGCUGAAGCAACAAAUGCCCUGCUUCCAGGAAAAGCCUCUAAGCAUCAGGUAACAUCAAAUCGUACCCCAAACCGACACAGGUGGUCAGGUAGAGAAUACCAAGGCGCUUGAGAGAACUCGGGUGAAGGAACUAGGCAAAAUGGUGCCGUAACUUCGGGAGAAGGCACGCUGAUAUGUAGGUGAAGUCCCUCGCGGAUGGAGCUGAAAUCAGUCGAAGAUACCAGCUGGCUGCAACUGUUUAUUAAAAACACAGCACUGUGCAAACACGAAAGUGGACGUAUACGGUGUGACGCCUGCCCGGUGCCGGAAGGUUAAUUGAUGGGGUCAGCGCAAGCGAAGCUCUUGAUCGAAGCCCCGGUAAACGGCGGCCGUAACUAUAACGGUCCUAAGGUAGCGAAAUUCCUUGUCGGGUAAGUUCCGACCUGCACGAAUGGCGUAAUGAUGGCCAGGCUGUCUCCACCCGAGACUCAGUGAAAUUGAACUCGCUGUGAAGAUGCAGUGUACCCGCGGCAAGACGGAAAGACCCCGUGAACCUUUACUAUAGCUUGACACUGAACAUUGAGCCUUGAUGUGUAGGAUAGGUGGGAGGCUUUGAAGUGUGGACGCCAGUCUGCAUGGAGCCGACCUUGAAAUACCACCCUUUAAUGUUUGAUGUUCUAACGUGGACCCGUAAUCCGGGUUGCGGACAGUGUCUGGUGGGUAGUUUGACUGGGGCGGUCUCCUCCUAAAGAGUAACGGAGGAGCACGAAGGUUGGCUAAUCCUGGUCGGACAUCAGGAGGUUAGUGCAAUGGCAUAAGCCAGCUUGACUGCGAGCGUGACGGCGCGAGCAGGUGCGAAAGCAGGUCAUAGUGAUCCGGUGGUUCUGAAUGGAAGGGCCAUCGCUCAACGGAUAAAAGGUACUCCGGGGAUAACAGGCUGAUACCGCCCAAGAGUUCAUAUCGACGGCGGUGUUUGGCACCUCGAUGUCGGCUCAUCACAUCCUGGGGCUGAAGUAGGUCCCAAGGGUAUGGCUGUUCGCCAUUUAAAGUGGUACGCGAGCUGGGUUUAGAACGUCGUGAGACAGUUCGGUCCCUAUCUGCCGUGGGCGCUGGAGAAUUGAGGGGGGCUGCUCCUAGUACGAGAGGACCGGAGUGGACGCAUCACUGGUGUUCGGGUUGUCAUGCCAAUGGCACUGCCCGGUAGCUAAAUGCGGAAGAGAUAAGUGCUGAAAGCAUCUAAGCACGAAACUUGCCCCGAGAUGAGUUCUCCCUGACUCCUUGAGAGUCCUGAAGGAACGUUGAAGACGACGACGUUGAUAGGCCGGGUGUGUAAGCGCAGCGAUGCGUUGAGCUAACCGGUACUAAUGAACCGUGAGGCUUAACCUU